rnacentral:tRNA from 1 species
GUGGGUAUAGUUCAACGGUAGAACAACUGUAUGUGGAACAGUGGGCUCUCUGUUCGAAUCAGGGUAUCCACCCCA